rnacentral:sRNA from 1 species
GUUGCGGGGGAACAAAAGUGCUCAAAGCCAGCGGUGGAACAUAAUUUUUACAGGCGGUUUUAAUUAAAAAACGCCUGUAGAAAGAAAUUGGGUUACCCGACUACAAAACCGCCUGUGAAAAUCAAUUUUUACAGGCGGUUUUUC